UAGUGCUGCACUAAAAGAAUUGUUAGUAAUAAGUCCAUGCAGCGAAGGAAUUGAACAAUUGUGGGACUGUAUUUGGGCCGAAAAUGGGUGUGGUAUGGAAACCGAGAUAUGGCAUGAGUUCAACAUAAAACAUGAAUUAGAAUUUUAGUGGGGGAUCAAGUCAAGUCUGGAAGUGUUACAGGAUGGAAGAGUGAGCCUACAGUUGAAAAACACUGAAAGUGCAUUACCAUUAAGUUUUGUCACAGCUAGAGCCUCAAAUAAUUCUGCUGCUCUGGCUAAAGAACAACUUGUCCUUUACGUUCAGAGUGUUGGUGAAGCUGGGUACUUAAAUGGCCCUAAAGAUGUUUCUUUUCGCUGGCAUUGCAGCGAUGAACAUCAUACAUGGAUUUUUUAGGAAAGGAUUUUCAACAUACUGGGAACACAACUAUCAACAAUGCAACAUUCUAGGGGUGCUAUUUUAUCAUUCAAGAGCCUUAUACAAUGAUUUUCAUCUGCAAUUUGUAUGGCCUUUCCCAAGCUUCUGCCAGAAGUUGAAUCUAUAAGUCAUGUAAGUCACAUGAGCAACA